AACGAACGCUGGCGGCGUGUCUUAAGCAUGCAAGUCGUGCGGCAAGGGGUAGCAAUACCCCCUAGAGCGGCGGACUGGUGAGUAACGCGUGGGUGAUCUGCCCUUGGGUUGGGGAUAGCCAUUAGAAAUAGUGGGUAAUACCGAAUACGUUCGCCGGGCUGUGGCCUGGCGAGGAAAAGCGCUUCGGCGCUGCCCGAGGAUGAGCCCGCGUCCCAUUAGCUAGUUGGUGAGGUAACGGCCCACCACGGCGAUGAUGGGUAGCCGGCCUGAGAGGGUGUACGGCCACACUAGGACUGAGUUACGGCCCAGAAUCCUACGGGAGGCAGCAGCUAAGAAUAUUCCGCAAUGGACGAAAGUCUGACGGGGCGGCGCCGCGUGGACGAGGAAGGUCGAAAGGUUGUAAAGUCCUUUUGUCGGGAAAGAAUAACCAUGGGAGGGAAUGCCCGUGGGAUGACAUGAACCGACGAAUAAGCCCCGGCUAACUACGUGCCAGCCGCCGCUGUAA
rnacentral:rRNA from 1 species